UAUAGUGUGGUAUAUUCAUCCCAAACUCUCCCGUGAGCAAUGUUCAAUGAUAAUUAAUAUUUAUUCAUUUCUUAACUGGUCAGAAUGAAGAAUGCUGAAUAUGUUGACACCGUAAUGUUAUGUUGCAGACACCAAGUGACCUGACUGAACCCUCUGGAGACCAUGAAUGGAGUGAGAGAUCCACUUCAUUCUUACAACAGACACCUAGUGACCUGACUGAACCCUCUGGAGACCAUGAAUGGAAUGAUAGAUACACUUCAUCCUUACAACAGACACCAAGUGUUCCGAUCCUGAUGAAACCUUUUGAAGAUCAAGAAAGGAGUGGAAGAUCCACUUCUUCCUUACAACAGGUUACUACGUCUUAUCAUUAUAUACUAGGUUUGAGUUUUCAGCUUUCUUUGACAAACACAGG